GUGAAUCAUCAAAUUUUUGAACGCAAAUUGCGCUUCCUGGCAUCCCGGGAAGUAUGCCUGUUUGAGGGUCAGUAUUAACAAAAAAUCGGUUUGGUUGCAAAUUGUGACGUUUCCGGAGUUUGGGCUUUUUUUACUUUUUUGGGUUAGGGGCUUUAAAUUGAACUUUUUUUCGCAUUUUUUGACGGAAAUAAAUUUUUUUUUUAUUCGUCUAUUCUUAAUGCCAAAAUCUUAUUAGAUGCGAUCACAUCGUGUGGUUUCGUGUCCAUAAAAUUUUCAUGAUUUGACCUCAAUUCAGGUAGGA
rnacentral:misc_RNA from 1 species